rnacentral:rRNA from 1 species
AAGGUUCGAUUCUGGCUCAAGAUGAACGCUGGCGGCGUGCUUAACACAUGCAAGUCGAACGGGAUCCAUCAAGCUUGCUUGUGGUGAGAGUGGCGAACGGGUGAGUAAUGCGUGACCGACCUGCCCCAUACACCGGAAUAGCUCCUGGAAACGGGUGGUAAUGCCGGAUGCUCCAGUUGAUCGCAUGGUCUUCUGGGAAAGCUUUCGCGGUAUGGGAUGGGGUCGCGUCCUAUCAGCUUGACGGCGGGGUAACGGCCCACCGUGGCUUCGACGGGUAGCCGGCCUGAGAGGGCGACCGGCCACAUUGGGACUGAGAUACGGCCCAGACUCCUACGGGAGGCAGCAGUGGGGAAUAUUGCACAAUGGGCGCAAGCCUGAUGCAGCGACGCCGCGUGAGGGAUGGAGGCCUUCGGGUUGUAAACCUCUUUUAUCGGGGAGCAAGCGAGAGUGAGUUUACCCGUUGAAUAAGCACCGGCUAACUACGUGCCAGCAGCCGCGGUAAUACGUAGGGUGCAAGCGUUAUCCGGAAUUAUUGGGCGUAAAGGGCUCGUAGGCGGUUCGUCGCGUCCGGUGUGAAAGUCCAUCGCUUAACGGUGGAUCCGCGCCGGGUACGGGCGGGCUUGAGUGCGGUAGGGGAGACUGGAAUUCCCGGUGUAACGGUGGAAUGUGUAGAUAUCGGGAAGAACACCAAUGGCGAAGGCAGGUCUCUGGGCCGUUACUGACGCUGAGGAGCGAAAGCGUGGGGAGCGAACAGGAUUAGAUACCCUGGUAGUCCACGCCGUAAACGGUGGAUGCUGGAUGUGGGGCCCGUUCCACGGGUUCCGUGUCGGAGCUAACGCGUUAAGCAUCCCGCCUGGGGAGUACGGCCGCAAGGCUAAAAC